rnacentral:rRNA from 1 species
GACGAACGCUGGCGGCGUGCUUAACACAUGCAAGUCGAACGGAAAGGCCUGCUUUCCCUUGUGGAUUGCGGGUACUCGAGUGGCGAACGGGUGAGUAACACGUGAGUGACCUGCCCCCAACUUGGGUAUAAGCCUGGGAAACUGGGUCUAAUUCCCGAUAGGACUGCAGGGUGGUGCCUGUGGUGGAACACGAUUUUCUAGUGGUUGGGGAUGAGCUCGCGGCCUAUCAGCUUGUUGGUGGGGUAAUGGCCUACCAAGGCGGCGACGGGUAGCCGGCCUGGGAGGGUGGACGGCCACAUUGGGACUGAGAUACGGCCCAGACUCCUACGGGAGGCAGCAGUGGGGAAUAUUGCACAAUGGGCGGAAGCCUGAUGCAGCGACGCCGCGUGGGGGAUGACGGCCUUCGGGUUGUAAACUCCUUUCGACCGCGAGGAAGCCACCUGGUUGGAAGGGUGGUGACGGUAGUGGUAGAAGAAGCACCGGCUAACUACGUG